GAAAGGUCAUGUGUGGUGAGGGAGUAUCUACUGAGCAAACUAUCACAUGGAGAAAGUUUGCAUCAUGUCAGAGUUGGUUUGGAAUGCCAUGAGGGGUUAUGGAGGUGUGAGAGUGCUUGAACGUGGCCCUCCCAUUUUCCGUUUUGUCGUACCUAACCCAACCUCCCCAUAGCACUCCGGUAUGAAGUAAUGGGAUGCUAUUGAAGACGCCGCCUUUGAUGUCUGGAAGCAGAUGGCCAGAGGAGGAGAGCUGCGUGCUGACAGGUAUCUCUCUCGUCAUAUCUGAAGUCCAGAGGGGAUGUGAAGCUCUGCGAGACACACGCUGAAAGAGACUGCGCUGAUUGUUCUGGCAAGUGUUUUGACUCCUCACCUCACUUCAUCUGAAAUUAAACCCUGCCAACGAGACAUUUAGAUGCUGAUGUUAGCCAAAUUAGCCUCCUACAGAUACUGGCGCUCAUAUAUGGCCUUUCUGCUGAUUAUAAUUUCCCCCACUGCCUUCACUCACGUAUGCCCAUUUGUCACGGAUUUGCUUCUUGUAUGGUUUGGCAUUCUCAUCCAAGAGUUUCCUUGGGUCUUAAAUAAAAAGUUUCUUCCACAA